rnacentral:rRNA from 1 species
GAUAAACGUUGGCGGCGUGCCUAACACAUGCAAGUCGAACGAACCUGUGUUAAGAAGCUUCGGUGGAUUGACACAGCGUUAGUGGCGAAUGGGUGAGUAAUGCAUAGGUAACUUGCCCCUAAGACUGGGAUAACUUUUCGAAAGGAAAGCUAAUACCAGAUAUUCUCUUUAAAUCAUAUGAUUUAAAGAGGAAAUGAAUUUCGCUUAGGGAUAGGCUUAUGUCUGAUUAGCUUGUUGGUGGGGUAAAAGCCUACCAAGGCAAUGAUCAGUAGCUGGUCUGAGAGGAUGGUCAGCCACACUGGGACUGAGAUACGGCCCAGACUCCUACGGGAGGCAGCAGUGAGGAAUAUUGCGCAAUGGGGGCAACCCUGACGCAGCGACGUCGCGUGAAUGAUGAAGUCUCUAGGGAUGUAAAGUUCUGUCAAGAGGGAGUAUAAUGAUAGUACCUCUAAAGGAAGCUCCGGCUAAUUACG